AUUGAACGCUGGCGGCAGGCCUAACACAUGCAAGUCGAGCGGUAGCACAAGGGAGCUUGCUCCCCGGGUGACGAGCGGCGGACGGGUGAGUAAUGUCUGGGAAACUGCCUGAUGGAGGGGGAUAACUACUGGAAACGGUAGCUAAUACCGCAUAACGUCGCAAGACCAAAGUGGGGGACCUUCGGGCCUCACGCCAUCGGAUGUGCCCAGAUGGGAUUAGCUAGUAGGUGGGGUAACGGCUCACCUAGGCGACGAUCCCUAGCUGGUCUGAGAGGAUGACCAGCCACACUGGAACUGAGACACGGUCCAGACUCCUACGGGAGGCAGCAGUGGGGAAUAUUGCACAAUGGGCGCAAGCCUGAUGCAGCCAUGCCGCGUGUGUGAAGAAGGCCUUCGGGUUGUAAAGCACUUUCAGCGAGGAGGAAGGCGUUAAGGUUAAUAACCUUGACGAUUGACGUUACUCGCAGAAGAAGCACCGGCUAACUCCGUGCCAGCAGCCGCCGUAAGAC
rnacentral:rRNA from 1 species